rnacentral:tRNA from 1 species
GGGUGUAUAUGCUCGGUGGUGGGGCGCAUGCUUAGCAUGCAUGAGGUCCUGGGUUCAAUCCCCAGUACCUCCA